rnacentral:rRNA from 1 species
GGGGCAGCAUGUCUUAGCUUGCUAAGACGAUGGCGACCGGCGCACGGGUGAGUAACACGUAUCCACCUGCCGUCUACUCUUGGACAGCCUUCUGAAAGGAAGAUUAAUACAAGAUGGCUCCGCAUGUUUAAAGGAUUCCGGUAGACGAUGGGGAUGCGUUCCAUUAGAUAGUAGGCGGGGUAACGGCCCACCUAGUCUUCGAUGGAUAGGGGUUCUGAGAGGAAGGUCCCCCACAUUGGAACUGAGACACGGUCCAAACUCAUACGGGAGGCAGCAGUGAGGAAUAUUGGUCAAUGGACGAGAGUCUGAACCAGCCAAGUAGCGUGAAGGAUGACUGCCUAUGGGUUGUAAACUUCUUUUAUACGGGAAUAAGUGAGGCACGUGUGCCUUUUUGUAUGUACCGUAUGAAUAAGGAUCGGCUAACUCCGUGCCAGCAGCCGCGGUAAUACGGAGGAUCCGAGCGUUAUCCGGAUUUAUUGGGUUUAAAGGGAGCGUAGGCGGACGCUUAAGUCAGUUGUGAAAGUUUGCGGCUCAACCGUAAAAUUGCAGUUGAUACUGGGUGUCUUGAGUACAGUAGAGGCAGGCGGAAUUCGUGGUGUAGCGGUGAAAUGCUUAGAUAUCACGAAGAACUCCGAUUGCGAAGGCAGCCUGCUGGACUGUAACUGACGCUGAUGCU